CAUUCUUAAUAAACUACAAAGUGACAUGAGUUGAAAAUGAAAUGAAAUAAUACUACAAAAAUUCAAAACAAAUCCAGUGUUUCAUGCAUGAAAUAAUGCUCUUGAGAGAACAAUGGAGCAAAAUUAAUCCAUUUAGUUAGACACAAAAGGCAUGCAGAAUCUCAAACAAGGAGUAUUUGGGCUAGUAUGUCAAUGUAAUCGGAUAUUCAAGAGCUCUAUUCCUGGAUAAAUAAUUCAUCUUUAUUGACUGCUGAAAUUGACUUUAAAGAUAAAUGUGGACCAGAAAGAUCUACAGUGCAUUUUGGCAAAUUUUAUACAUAGCCAAGGCACAAAACUGCUCUGAAUUGUCCAUUACUGUAAUAGGCAGUUCACAAGGUUCACUGUGCCUCAACAUUACAGUGCAAGAUGUACAAACAAGAUGUUCUGAAACACCUCAAACACUGUUAAACUCAAAUUCUCAAGGUAUUGCUUCAAUAAAAAUUAUUAUUAUCUAUCAUUUAUUUUUAUUUCACCGCAGACUAUGUUCAUCUAAAACUGCCUUCAUCCCAAAUUAUAAUGUAUACACCACCUGUUGAGAUGUAGCUAAGUUUAAACUGUCAAGUUGUUGCUUAUAAAAGUACAUAAAGUGACUUUUUUUGCUAAUAGGAAAAUAAAAACAAGCAAAAUGGAAAGCAAAGACGUCUAGAAAUAUUUCAUUUGAAGUUUUAAUUCAUAUUUAAUCCUCUAAUUUGCCUAAGAAAAUUUUGUUUUAAACAUUAACUAUUAAGUACUAAACUGGGUGUAACAAAAGUACACUUCUUCAUAUGUACUUGUUAGUCAUAGAUAUGGAGGAGAAACCACUAUGUUGCUAUAUAGGACAUUUCCUUUGGAGUGACUAUACAACUCAAGAAAAAAAAAUUGAAAAACCAACAAGCAGUACAGCUUAAUCCAGCAAGAUAGUUGCUGAAAUUUUCUUAUUUAUAUUCCUGUGGAUACACUGUAUACCAACACAUAGGAAUAGAGAGUUCUAAUGAUUGCAAGGUUAUUGCCAGUUUCAGCAUAGUUUGACCCUAUCUCUAAAAACAAUUAAAAAGAACUGGGGAUGUAUUUUGGUUGUUGAGUAUUUGCCUAGCAUGAAUGAGCCCCUACUUUCAACUCCCAGGACCAUACCCUCCCUCCCCCCAAAAGGAAAGAAAUAGAAGUAAAAGAACUAAGUUAGGACUAAGUUUAUAUGCAAUCAAGCACCUACUAUGCACAUUUGUGACCUCCAUAUUGAAGGAAAUAUAUGUUUGUAAUAGUAUGGGUAAAUCUGAAAUUCAGUGAAAAUUUAGCUUAUUUUAACAAUCCUUGGCCAACACUUUCCUGGAAUCCAUAAUUUUAAACUAAUGCAGGUUCACAUUAGCUGUAAAAGACAAAAGAAAUGGUGUCACCAAAAGGUUUUUGGCAACCACUGCUGAAGAUGGGCUGACAUAGGCUUUGCCAUUGAAGUUGUCUCAUUCACUGUGAUAAAAAUGUGUUGGCAAGGGCUGUCCUCUUUUAUAGGAUCAUACAGAAAAUACUUACUCCUCACAUGUCUGAUAUUCUAUAUUGACUUAUUAGAGGUAAGAAUAUGCAGCAAAUCAUUCGUAUAACUCUUAUCAGCUUUGAAUGAUGUAGGUUGGAUGGAUAUAUAUUUUCUUAAAGCUUUUAUAUUUUUGCUAUUAUAUAGGAAAUCAAACAGGGUUUGAAAUGCAUAUCUCUUUAGCAACUGACAAACUCAGUCUCUUUUUCCAAGAAGUCUGGAUGGUGUGAUAGCUAAUAGUUCGGAAUCUGAGAUGUAAUAAUUUAAUGUCAGUGAGAUUUGAGGAGGAUUUUCAUCCUUUUUAAGCUUCAGUUUUCUUAGCUGUGAAAAUGAGGCUAAUUAUAUAUAGCCCGCAUUGUUAUUGGAAGUAUUAAGUAAGAUAAUAGCAUUUAACACAGACUUGACACCUGAGGACAAAGGUCAUUUGUUUUACUACCUAGUAUAUCCCAAGAACCUAGAAGGGUGCAUGGAACAUUAUAGUUGCUUAACAAAUAUAGUUGCUUGUUGAAUGUAUAAAUGUGUAAUUCUUCUGAUUCUCCCAUCAUUUGCCAGAAGAAUGGCUAAAUUCCUAUUUAUCAGCUUGCAAAUUUUAUUACUAAUUCAUUGUCAAUAUUUAUACAGUUUACCAUUUUUGCCUCUGACAUUAGCAAACCAACACCAUGCCAGGAUGAAUGUCCCAGCCUAGCAUCAAAUCUUUCUUCAGGAUGAGGCUAUCUGAUCUUCACAGCACCAAAAAUCUCUUCUACUCUCUGCCUAUAAAUUAUCUCUUCUGCAACUAUCCUUCUCUUUCCCUCCUCUACCUCUGACACUUUCUUAUCCCUGUUCAUUUAGAAAUCCUCUGCCUUUGCUCCUUUUUUAUUCCACUUGCCAAGCUACUUUAAAAGUCUCAUUCUGUGUUUUCCCCACUAGACUGGUUGGGACUAUUGGAUGCCAUCAUGCAUACUACAACCAUAAAUCAUCUUACCCUACGAUGGGGGCCGGGGAUUUAGCUCAGCGGUUUCGCUGCCUACUGUGCAAACGCAAGGACCCGAGUUCGAUCCCAGGUACUAAAAAAAAAAAAAAAAAAAACUUACUCUACCAUGUACACAAGGUGCAGCCUCACAGAUGUAGAGUGAAAGAUAGGGAUUUUGAUCCACUUUGGUUCCAUUUGGAGACUUUCUCUCAAUUAGCAUCAAUUAUCGUUUGAAGUGUUCAAAGAUG
ensembl:lncRNA